UAAUAGCGUAUAUUAAAGUUGUUGCAGUUAAAAAGCUCGUAGUUGGAUUUUGAGGUCGAACGAGUUGACGGCAUUGUCGAUCGACUCCGUUCGGCUUCUUCCUUCUGUGGACCGCGGCGCAUUUCACUAUGCGACGUUGGGACGCAGAUCGUUUACUGUGAAAAAAUUAGAGUGUUCAAGGCAGGCCGUACGCUUGAAUACAUUAGCAUGGAAUAAUGGAAUAGGACGUCGGACCUAUUUUGUUGGUUCCAGGACCGUCGUAAUGAUUAAUAGGGACAGUUGGGGCCGUUCAUAUUCCGUAGUCAGAGGUGAAAUUCUUGGAUUUACGGAAGAUGAACUACUGCGAAAGCAUUCGGCAAGGAUGUUUUCGUUA
rnacentral:rRNA from 1 species